CAGUAGCCACGGUAAUACGAAGGGGGCUAGCGUUGUUCGGAUUUACUGGGCGUAAAGCGCACGUAGGCGGAUCGAUCAGUCAGGGGUGAAAUCCCAGAGCUCAACUCUGGAACUGCCUUUGAUACUGUCGAUCUGGAGUAUGGAAGAGGUGAGUGGAAUUCCGAGUGUAGAGGUGAAAUUCGUAGAUAUUCGCAGGAACACCAGUGGCGAAGGCGGCUAACUGGUCCAUAACUGACGCUGAGGUGCGAAAGCGUGGGGAGCAAACAGGAUUAGAUACCCCUGUAGUCCCUGUCUCUUAUAC
rnacentral:rRNA from 1 species